CGUGUAGGCGGAGGCGCAAGUCAGAUGUGAAAUCCCCGCGCUUAACGUGGGCAUUGCAUUUGAAACUAUGUAGCUAGAGUUCUGUAGAGGGGGGUAGAAUUCCAGGUGUAGCGGUGAAAUGCGUAGAGAUCUGGAGGAAUACCGAUUGCGAAGGCAGCCCCCUGGACAGUGACUGACGCUCAUAUGCGAAAGCGUGGGGAUCAAACAGGAUUAGAUACCCGUGUA
rnacentral:rRNA from 1 species